CGAGCCUGACGGAGCACGCCGCGUGAGGGAUGGAGGCCUUUGGGCUGUAAACCUCUUUUCUCAAGGAAGAAGACCUGACGGUACUUGAGGAAUAAGCCACGGCUAAUUCCGUGCCAGCAGCCGCGGUAAUACGGGAGUGGCAAGCGUUAUCCGGAAUUAUUGGGCGUAAAGCGUCCGCAGGCGGCCGUUUAAGUCUGUUGUUAAAUCGUGGAGCUCAACUCCAUCACGGCAAUGGAAACUGUUCGGCUUGAGUAUGGUAGGGGCAGAGGGAAUUUCCGGUGUAGCGGUGAAAUGCGUAGAUAUCGGGAAGAACACCAGUGGCGAAAGCGCUCUGCUGGACCAUUACUGACGCUCAUGGACGAAAGCCAGGGGAGCGAAAGGGAUUAGAUACCCCUGUAGUCCUGGCCGUAAACGAUGAACACUAGAUGUUGGGGGAAUCGACCCCCUCGGUGUCGUAGCUAACGCGUUAAGUGUUCCGCCUGGGGAGUACGCACGCAAGUGUGAAACUCAAAGGAAUUGACGGA
rnacentral:rRNA from 1 species